AGCGAACGCUGGCGGCAGGCCUAACACAUGCAAGUCGAACGAAGUCUUCGGACUUAGUGGCGGACGGGUGAGUAACACGUGGGAACGUGCCUUUAGGUUCGGAAUAACUCAGGGAAACUUGUGCUAAUACCGAAUGUGCCCUUCGGGGGAAAGAUUUAUCGCCUUUAGAGCGGCCCGCGUCUGAUUAGCUAGUUGGUGGGGUAAUGGCCCACCAAGGCUACGAUCAGUAGCUGGUCUGAGAGGAUGACCAGCCACAUUGGGACUGAGACACGGCCCAAACUCCUACGGGAGGCAGCAGUGGGGAAUCUUGCGCAAUGGGCGAAAGCCUGACGCAGCCAUGCCGCGUGGAUGAUGAAGGUCUUAGGAUUGUAAAAUCCUUUCACCGGUGAAGAUAAUGACUGUAGCCGGAGAAGAAGCCCCGGCUAACUUCGUGCCAGCCGCCGCCGUAAAAC
rnacentral:rRNA from 1 species